rnacentral:rRNA from 1 species
UACGAAGGGGCUAGCGUUGUUCGGAAUCACUGGGCGUAAAGGGCGCGUAGGCGGCUUGAUAAGUCGGGGUGAAAGCCUGUGGCUCAACCACAGAAUUGCCUUCGAUACUGUCGAGCUUGAGACCGGAAGAGGUAAGUGGAACUGCGAGUGUAGAGGUGAAAUUCGUAGAUAUUCGCAAGAACACCAGUGGCGAAGGCGGCUUACUGGUCCGGUUCUGACGCUGAGGCGCGAAAGCGUGGGGAGCAAACAGG